rnacentral:snoRNA from 1 species
AGUUCAUGUUGUGGGCAUUGAUGGAGUAAACCUUUGUAUCGUUUCCAAACUUGUGAAUAGCAUUCUGAGUCCAGCUGUUGAGAAGUAGUAAUCUUAUCCCCUAGUUU